AAGCUCAAGUCCUUGGCAAAAGCAUUGGUCGGAGAAAAGGACGAGGUAUUUUUCACUUCCAAUGCUGUGGCUCAUGCUUCACGGAAAUCCUCUCCUAGAGUGACAAAUGAGGCUGUGCAGAAGGCUGCUGCUGGCUUGAGGGGCUCCAAUCACCGUCGAGCCACGGAUGUGAGUGUUAGACUGGAUGCUCAGCAGAAGAAGUUGAACCUACCGAUUCUUCCUACCACCACCUGUGG